rnacentral:rRNA from 1 species
ACAGAGGCGGCAAGCGUUGUUCGGAAUUAUUGGGCGUAAAGAGCACGUAGGCGGCUGUGUAAGUCGGUUGUGAAAGCCUUCUGCUCAACGGAAGAACGGCAGUUGAUACUAUAGGGCUGGAGUGCGGGAGGGGAGAGUGGAACUUCUGGUGGAGCGGUGAAAUGCGUAGAUAUCAGAAGGAACACCGGCGGCGAAGGCGACUCUCUGGUCCAUAACUGACGCUGAGUGUGCGAAAGCUAGGGGAGCAAACGGG